rnacentral:rRNA from 1 species
GGGAAUAUUGCACAAUGGGCGCAAGCCUGAUGCAGCCAUGCCGCGUGUAUGAAGAAGGCCUUCGGGUUGUAAACUUCUUUUCUCAGGGACGAAGAAAGUGACGGUACCUGAGGAAUAAGCCACGGCUAACUACGUGCCAGCAGCCGCGGUAAUACGUAGGUGGCAAGCGUUAUCCGGAUUUACUGGGUGUGAAGGGCGUGUAGGCGGGAAAGCAAGUCAGAUGUGAAAACCACGGGCUCAACCUGUGGCCUGCAUUUGAAACUGUUUUUCUUGAGUACUGGAGAGGCAGACGGAAUUCCUAGUGUAGCGGUGAAAUGCGUAGAUAUUAGGAGGAACACCAGUGGCGAAGGCGGUCUGCUGGACAGCAACUGACGCUGAGGCGCGAAAGCGUGGGGAGCA